CCUACGGGUGGCAGCAGUGGGGGAUAUUGGACAAUGGGGGGAACCCUGAUCCAGCGACGCCGCGUGAGUGAAGAAGUAUCUCGGUAUGUAAAGCUCUAUCAGCAGGGAAGAAGAAAUGACGAUACCUGGGUAAGAAGCCCCGGCUAACUACGUGCCAGCAGCCGCGGUAAUACGACGGGGGCAAGAGUUAUCCGGAAUUACUGGGUGUAAAGGGAGCGUAGACGGUGAUGUAAGUCUGGAGUGAAAGCCCGGGGCGCAACCCCGGGACUGCUCUUGGAACUGUGCGGCUGGAGUGCAGGAGGGGCAGGCGGAAUUCCUGGUGUAGCGGUGAAAUGCGUAGAUAUCAGGAGGAACACCGGUGGCGAAGGCGGCCUGCUGGACUGCGACUGACGUUGAGGCCCGAAAGCGUGGGGAGCAAACAGGAUUAGAUACCCGAGUAGUC
rnacentral:rRNA from 1 species